GACGAACGCUGGCGGCGUGCCUAAUACAUGCAAGUAGAACGCUGAAGAGAGGAGCUUGCUCUUCUUGGAUGAGUUGCGAACGGGUGAGUAACGCGUAGGUAACCUGCCUUGUAGCGGGGGAUAACUAUUGGAAACGAUAGCUAAUACCGCAUAACAAUGGAUGACACAUGUCAUUUAUUUGAAAGGGGCAAUUGCUCCACUACAAGAUGGACCUGCGUUGUAUUAGCUAGUAGGUGAGGUAACGGCUCACCUAGGCGACGAUACAUAGCCGACCUGAGAGGUGGAUCGGCCACACUGGGACUGAGACACGGCCCAGACUCCUACGGGAGGCAGCAGUAGGGAAUCUUCGGCAAUGGGGGGCAACCCUGACCGAGCAACGCCGCGUGAGUGAAGAAGGUUUUCGGAUCGUAAAGCUCUGUUGUAAGUCAAGAACGAGUGUGAGAGUGGAAAGUUCACACUGUGACGGUAG
rnacentral:rRNA from 1 species